GGACAUAGACCUGCGCCAUCCCACACAGUUUAUGGCCCUCAGCUGUGACCCCGCAAUGUGGCAGAAACGUGUUUCGAGAUCCAAUAGAGGAAAUGCUCGAGUCUUCACCAGAGACGUCUAACUCAUCUUCACCAAGCGUUAAUGCUGUUUCUCUCUUAAUUGUGGGCUUUGGGAUGCUGAACUUUUUUUUUUAAUAUGCCUUUUUGGUAUUGCCACAAGUUUUAAAUGUGCAUGAAUCACUUAAAAAAAAAAUUGGGGAGCUCCUGCUGUGGCAUAGCAGAAACAAAUCCGACUAGGAACCAUGAGGUUGUGGGUUCAAUCCCAGGCCUUGCUCAGUGGGUUAAGGAUCUGGCAUUGCCGUGAGCUGUGGUGUCGGUCGUAGACGCGGCUCGGAUCCCGUGUUGCUGUGGCUGUGGUGUAGGCCGGCAGCUAUAGCUCAGAUUCGACCCCUAGCCUGGGAACCUCCAUAUGCCACGGGUGCGGCCCUAAAAAAAAAGACAAAACAAACCCACACAACAUCAAUUACCUUAAAAACUUGAGGGAGCUCUGGAGGAAAAAAGCAGACUUAAGUUACGAGAAAGAUUUUUGAUUUGUAUUUAUCCUAGAAAAUCGAUCAGACCACAUACUGACAUCUUCAUCUCCUCAGCUUGCUUUCUCGUCUGAAGAGCCGGCGGGCAGGACCCAGGCUGUGUGAGGACCGUCACUGGGCCCGGGGUCCUCUUCGUCCCGUCUCUCGCCAGCCCCUGCCCAGCCCUCCCCCGCAUCCCCAGGCGUUCGUCUUAGAAACAGUCAGUGACACCUCUGCCUCUGCACCCUCGCGCCUGCGGACCCGGGGUGUGGACGGGUUGCCCUGGUCUUCUUCCCAGCGUGGGCCUCAGCUUCUGGCCCCUGGGCCGUGAAAUGAACUCUGAGGCGGAGCUCGGGCCACCAGCUCACCUUGCGUAACUUGGGUGGGCAGGACCAAUUUGUCACCACAGAAGCCAAGGACGUCUGCGGAUCCUGAGGCCCGGGAAGCAUCCGAGAAUAGCAAUUAGGGUAAAUACGGGAGAAUGAUGAGAAAGACGUGUGUGAACGUUCCUGGAAGACCUUAUCGAAAACCUAAACAGGAGGAGAAACAGGCCACGUGCGCGGCGGGAAGAUCCAAUCUGGGGGGGGGGGGGAUUCCUCUCCAAACCGGCCUCUGCGCUGGGUGUGCGCCCACUUGCAUCCCAGCAGGUGUCUGGGAGAAGUGACGUGGACAAGGUGAUUCAGAAUGUAGAACAAUUCCCAGGAGAAGAACGGCCAAGCCUCGAGGAAGGAGGAGGAGGGAAGCGGGCGGGUGGGGGUGGGCACAGGGAACGCGAGGCCCCUGUCUGUGGCGUGUUAGACUGUUACUCAAAGCUGUAUUAAUCAAUUCCAUGCUGUGUGGGGCAGGAAUAGACAAACGGGGGGAAACAGGAAGGACGUGUGUGCCCAGCCACACGUUCAGAGCAGUGGGGGGAGAGCGCUUGUGUUCAAAAAAGCAGGAUAUCACAUGUCAGAUGUAAUCAUAUAAAAUUGUAUUGUACUCCACUCCCCCACCCCAAAUCAGGAAACAACUCAAAUGUCCCUCAACAGGGGCAUGGUCAAAUGGAUCAAUACAUUUCAGUAGGAGUCCCCGUCGUGGUGGAGCAGAAACGAAUCUGACUAGGAACCAGGAGGUGGAUUCCAACAGGUGUCGGAAGGCAUGAUCAAUGAGCCAUGCAAUCUGAAAACCAGAAAAAACACGGGGAAUAAAAACCUGGACAGGGAGUUCCUGUUGUGGCUCAGUGGGUUAAGAACCUGAUGUAGUCUCUGUAAGGAUGCAGGUUUGAUCCCUGGCCUUGUUCAGUGGGUUGAGGAUUCAGCAUUGCUGCAAGCUGUGGUGCAGGUCACAGAUGUGGCUCUGAUCUGGUGUUGCUGUGCCUGUGGUGUAGGCUGGCAGCUUACAGCUCCAAUUUGAACCCUAGCCUGGGAACUUCCAUAUGCCAUAGGUAAGAUUAAAAAAAAACAAAAAACCACAAAAACAUAAAAACAUGGGCAUUCCCAUCGUGGCUCAGCGGAAACGGAAACGAAUCUGACUAGCAUCCAUGAGGAUGCAGGUCUGAUCCCUGGCCUCGCUCAGUGGGUUAAGAAUCAGUGUUGCCAUGAGCUGUGGUGUAGGUCACAGAUGCAGCUCGGAUCCCACGUUGCUGUGGCUGUGGUGUAGGCCGGCAUCUACAGCUCCAAUUCAACCCUUAGCCUGGGAACCUCCAUAUGCUGCGGGUGUGGCCAUAAAAAGACAAAAUACAAAAACAAACCCACAAAAACAUGGACAGAGUCUCACUGACCUAUAGGACAAUAUCAAGCAGCACAGUACAAAUUCAGAGGAAUCCAGGAGGAGAGGAGCAAGAAUGAGCAGGACAAAUAUGCUGGAAGAAUGGGAAAAUUACCCAGAUUUUGUGAAAAGUAUAAACUUACAGGUCAAAAAAACCUUAGCAAACUGUACGCAGGAUAACUGUAAGGAAAACUACUCCCAGGCAAAUCAUAGUCAGGUUGCUGAGACCAAAGAGGAAGAGAAGGCCUUGGAGGCAGCCAGAGGGAAAGGACAGUUGCACGCAAGUUCCCACUGUGGCCCAGCGGCAGCCACCCCGAUUGGUAUCCGUGAAGAUGUGGGUUCAGCCCCUGGCCUCACUCAGGGGGUUAAGGAUCUGGCGUUGCUGUGGCGUAGGCCGGCAGCUGUAGCUCUGACUAGACUCCUAACGGGGGACCUCCACAUGCUGCGGGUGCAGCCCUAAAAAGCAAAAAAAAAAAAAAAAAAAAAAAAAA
rnacentral:lncRNA from 1 species